AUAUUAAAUGUUUUUUUUUAGGUGGUAGAUUGUGAAACAGGAAACAAUUUGGGGCCAGGACAGUAUGGAGAAUUAUGUUUCAAAGGACCUCAGGUAAUUUUAAAGGGAUAUCUUGGAAACAAAGAAGCGAACAAAGCUUUGUUCGAUGACGACAAAUGGUUAAAGACAGGAGACUAUGGUUGUUAUGACAACGAAGGCAAUGUUUACGUCAGAGGGCGCAUUAAGCAUCUCAUUAAAUACAAUGGAAUUGUGGUUAUCCCUGCAGAGCUUGAGUUUGAGCUUCAUAAACACUCACAAAUCGCUGACGUUGCUGUUAUAGGGGUCCCCGGUGUAGUGGGGUACCAGGGGGAAGUCCCAAAAGCGUUCAUAGUGGCUCACAUUGGGAGUAACUUAAAUGAAGAUGACGUGCACAAGUAUAUGAAAGGUCGAUUCCCUGACUACAAACAACUACACGGAGGAGUUGAAUUCCUGAAGUGCUUACCGAAAUCCUCUGGUGGAAAAAUUAUGAGACAAAAACUAAAAAUGCUUUAAAUCAUUAUCAAGCAUAGGUAACUUUACGUUGCAAUACAUCAUAGAGACAUAAA